rnacentral:tRNA from 1 species
UAAGUGAAAACCAAAACAGAGGUGCCUAGCUGUUAAUUAGGAAAAUGUAAAAUAAUUUACUCAUUUAG